GGCGGCUUUGUGCCUGCCGGCGGCCUGCCCAGCGUGACCCCCUGGAGUCGGGGCGCGUCACAGUCUUUGCCCCUUGGCCACCCGUGAAGCCCCUUGGCGUGUUGAGGCCCCUCUGGCCUCCAUGCAGCCCGGGGGGCGGGUCUGAGGCUCUCCUCUCCUGCUCGGCGGUAGGGAUGGCGCCCCAGACAUUGGCUGCACAGGGCUCGCUCGCCCUUCUGGGAAGUUUUGUUUGUGUGUCCUUGUCCUUGUCUUUGUCCUUGUGGGUGUGAGCGAGCGAGCGAGUGAGCUUGUCCUUUAGGCCCCUCUUAAAAGCGCUGCAGCUUAGCUUAAGCUUCCCAGGAGGGAAAGGGCGGCUCUGUGCAGCAACAGGGGGGUCCCCUCUGAGCCCGCGAGCGGAGGGAGAGUCCGGGCUUGCCCCUCCUUUCUAUAAGGACGGAGCGAAGCCGCUUAGCGGUAGAGCGGGCAACGCGACCUGCCUGUAGUCAGGGCCUGGGUGUCUCUGCCUGCGUGGCCGCCUGUCCUGCUGGCGAGCUGCCAGCGUGACAGCCCUGUACUCGGGGCGUGUGUCACGAGCCGUGGAGCCCUCUUGUCCCCAGGAGCAGCCCGACCUCCCCGUAAGCGGGGCUGGGGGGGCCGCUCUAGCCAGCCCACAGGAACGAGCCCUCCCUCGCCCUUUAGCGGGCGCAGGUUGAGGAAGCGCUGCGCCGGAGGGCGCAGUCCCGCCUUUGGCGCUGCUUUUGGCUGGGGCGACCUCCCCGCGGUUGGGGUCGAGGUCGCUCCCUGGGCUCCUGAAGACGUGGCGUUGUGCUGCAGCCAGGCCGGCCGGCCCGUAAGUCGGGCGCAGGUGGGAGCCUCGGGCUCCGCGGGGCUUGUUGGGAGAGCCGAGCCGAGGGGGGCCGCCCUGUAAGCAGGGCUGUGCGUGUCCCCCGCGCUCGGCGGGAGGUGCUUGGAGGGACCCCCUGUAAUCAGGCGGGUAUCUCCUGGCCCCGGCCUUUCAGAGGCGCGGGGCCAGGAUGCGUGGGGGCCGGGCGUGCGCCCCCCCCGUCCUCGGGGCUGGGGCCGCGGCCCCCCGGCCUUUGGCCGUGAAGCUCCGCUGCCUGGCUGUCGAGUCUCGUUCCUGUGGCUGCGGGGGAAGGCCGAGCUCCCCGACUCCCUGGGUGUCGACCUGCCUGUAAGCAGGGUUCCGGGUCUGGGAGCCUUUGUGCUCAGCUGGCAGCCUGCGUGGGGUGACCGGCCCCGUUAGCGGGGUGCGGGUCGGGGUGCCCCUGAAUCGGAGAGAAGGAGCCUCCGUGGGCCUUUGGGACCAGGGCUGCCCUGUAAGUCAGGGCCCGGCCAGUGCCCUGCAGUCCCGGGCGCUUUGCGGUCCAGGCAGCGGCUCGAGCCCCCUGUAAGCAGGGACGCGGAGCCUCGUUGGCCGCUGCUUUGCAUGCCCAGCUUCGUUUGCCCAGGGUGCCCGCCUCCGAGCCCGGCUCCAGCACCGGCUGGAACUCUGGCCUGCGUCGCUUUGCGGCCGGCGGAGAAGAAAGAAGAGGCUUCGUGUGGAACGGCGAGUCAAGAGCGAGCGAGAAGAGGAGCGGCGUCGGGCUGAAGAGCGGGCAGAGGAGAAAGGCGCUCUGGGCAAAGGGACCUCCCUGUCAGCAGGGCGCGGUCACGUAAGAGCAUCGCGGGCACCUUUGGGGUGCCCCGGCUGGCUUUGCGCUGGGCGACCUCCCUGUAACCAGGGCUCGGUCUUUGCUUUUGUUGUCGUCGGCCUUUUGCCGUCGUGCUCCUUUGGCUGCCCGGAGAGAGCGGCGACCCUGUAAGGAGGGUGAGAGCCGCCGUCUCCGCACCCGAGGGGGGAAAGGGAGCUCUCUGGACCCCGAGCCCACCCUGUAAGCAGGGGAGGGCUGUUUCCCCGGCCCCCUCCUCCGGCCCCGGCGGCUUUGUGCCUGCCGGCGGCCUGCCCAGCGUGACCCCCUGGAGUCGGGGCGCGUCACAGUCUUUGCCCCUUGGCCACCCGUGAAGCCCCUUGGCGUGUUGAGGCCCCUCUGGCCUCCAUGCAGCCCGGGGGGCGGGUCUGAGGCUCUCCUCUCCUGCUCGGCGGUAGGGAUGGCGCCCCAGACAUUGGCUGCACAGGGCUCGCUCGCCCUUCUGGGAAGUUUUGUUUGUGUGUCCUUGUCCUUGUCUUUGUCCUUGUGGGUGUGAGCGAGCGAGCGAGUGAGCUUGUCCUUUAGGCCCCUCUUAAAAGCGCUGCAGCUUAGCUUAAGCUUCCCAGGAGGGAAAGGGCGGCUCUGUGCAGCAACAGGGGGGUCCCCUCUGAGCCCGCGAGCGGAGGGAGAGUCCGGGCUUGCCCCUCCUUUCUAUAAGGACGGAGCGAAGCCGCUUAGCGGUAGAGCGGGCAACGCGACCUGCCUGUAGUCAGGGCCUGGGUGUCUCUGCCUGCGUGGCCGCCUGUCCUGCUGGCGAGCUGCCAGCGUGACAGCCCUGUACUCGGGGCGUGUGUCACGAGCCGUGGAGCCCUCUUGUCCCCAGGAGCAGCCCGACCUCCCCGUAAGCGGGGCUGGGGGGGCCGCUCUAGCCAGCCCACAGGAACGAGCCCUCCCUCGCCCUUUAGCGGGCGCAGGUUGAGGAAGCGCUGCGCCGGAGGGCGCAGUCCCGCCUUUGGCGCUGCUUUUGGCUGGGGCGACCUCCCCGCGGUUGGGGUCGAGGUCGCUCCCUGGGCUCCUGAAGACGUGGCGUUGUGCUGCAGCCAGGCCGGCCGGCCCGUAAGUCGGGCGCAGGUGGGAGCCUCGGGCUCCGCGGGGCUUGUUGGGAGAGCCGAGCCGAGGGGGGCCGCCCUGUAAGCAGGGCUGUGCGUGUCCCCCGCGCUCGGCGGGAGGUGCUUGGAGGGACCCCCUGUAAUCAGGCGGGUAUCUCCUGGCCCCGGCCUUUCAGAGGCGCGGGGCCAGGAUGCGUGGGGGCCGGGCGUGCGCCCCCCCCGUCCUCGGGGCUGGGGCCGCGGCCCCCCGGCCUUUGGCCGUGAAGCUCCGCUGCCUGGCUGUCGAGUCUCGUUCCUGUGGCUGCGGGGGAAGGCCGAGCUCCCCGACUCCCUGGGUGUCGACCUGCCUGUAAGCAGGGUUCCGGGUCUGGGAGCCUUUGUGCUCAGCUGGCAGCCUGCGUGGGGUGACCGGCCCCGUUAGCGGGGUGCGGGUCGGGGUGCCCCUGAAUCGGAGAGAAGGAGCCUCCGUGGGCCUUUGGGACCAGGGCUGCCCUGUAAGUCAGGGCCCGGCCAGUGCCCUGCAGUCCCGGGCGCUUUGCGGUCCAGGCAGCGGCUCGAGCCCCCUGUAAGCAGGGACGCGGAGCCUCGUUGGCCGCUGCUUUGCAUGCCCAGCUUCGUUUGCCCAGGGUGCCCGCCUCCGAGCCCGGCUCCAGCACCGGCUGGAACUCUGGCCUGCGUCGCUUUGCGGCCGGCGGAGAAGAAAGAAGAGGCUUCGUGUGGAACGGCGAGUCAAGAGCGAGCGAGAAGAGGAGCGGCGUCGGGCUGAAGAGCGGGCAGAGGAGAAAGGCGCUCUGGGCAAAGGGACCUCCCUGUCAGCAGGGCGCGGUCACGUAAGAGCAUCGCGGGCACCUUUGGGGUGCCCCGGCUGGCUUUGCGCUGGGCGACCUCCCUGUAACCAGGGCUCGGUCUUUGCUUUUGUUGUCGUCGGCCUUUUGCCGUCGUGCUCCUUUGGCUGCCCGGAGAGAGCGGCGACCCUGUAAGGAGGGUGAGAGCCGCCGUCUCCGCACCCGAUGCAGGGCAAAGGGGGGCAGAUCUCUCGACCAUGAAGAAGCAACUUGUAUGGCAUGGAUGAAACAGUCGUCUUUUCUGCAAGCAUGAGGGAGAAGAGGAGUCCUUAAGUUGGUGCACUUCCAGACUGUGUUGAUGGGUGGAAUGCCCAUCUUUUUGUGCUGGUUGUGAUUUGAGUGAUCUCCCUGCCAUUUAGGUCUAUUUUGUUCCCUGGGCUUCUGAAUACGUGGUGUUGUGGACAUUAGUCUCUGGAAGAACAUAUUCUAGAGUAGCAUGUCUUUGUUCUAGAGCAAUGUCUGCUAUUGUCCUUUUGCUGUUUGAUUAAUGUUAAGUUUACUCAAUA